rnacentral:lncRNA from 1 species
UUUUCUGAUGUUGUGCACGACACCUAAUGAAAUUGGCUUUCUUCCUCCCCAUCUCCCUCCCUUUCUCCCGUCCUUGUCUCUCUGUCUUUGUCUUUGUCUCUCUGUUGGUCUCUCUCUUUCCUUCCUCUCUUGGUUCCCUGGUGUGCAGAAUGACUAAGAAGGGGAAACACACAAGUGCACUCAAUACUUUUUUUUUUGAGACACGGUCUGGCUCUGUCGCCCAGGCUGCAGUGCGCUGGUGUGACCUUGGCUCACUGCAACCUCUACCUCCUGGGCUCAAGCCAUCCUCCCACCUCAGCCUCCAGAGUAGCUGGGACUACAGACACAUGCCACCACGUCUGGAUAAUUUUUGUCUUUUUUUUUGUAGAGAUGGGUUUUCACCAUUGUCUCGUCUGGUCUUGAACGCCUGAGCUCAAGCCAUUCGCCUGCCUCGGCCUCUCAAAGUGCUGGGAUUACAGGCAUAAGCCACCAUGCCUGGCCUCAAAAGAAUUAAAACGGUUAAUGAGUUAAAACAAGAUUAAGUCUGUACAUUAUAUAAUGUAGAAGCUUCUGUGGAAAACUCCCCAGCCCUAUGUGGACGACAUCACAUCUGAUUUAUCCUUGUGGUCUACACCGCUGGGUGCUCAGCCUUCUCCUGAGAGAUGCUGUGAAACUUCUCUACCACCUGGAACAGGAGAAGGGAGGCCCAUGUGGGGGCAGAGACCUCUGUCCAGAGUCCAGUGGCAGCUGGAGAGAGGCUGUGGCCUGUGUACCGCCGGAUCCUGCCUGGAACUGACUGCACCUGCUGUUAUUUGCUAAAGCCCCAGCCCGGGGCUGCCCUAAUUCCCUAUUCUCCUCACGAAGCCCAUAGCUGUUGGGAAAGACAGUCCCAGGGUCCUUCCCACGUGUAAGUGUCUUCCUCAGGCGUGUCCAGAGCACUGUGGCUGGAUUGCUCUUUCCCGGACCAUCUCUCAGGGCUGUGCGUGCAGGGAGCCAUCCUCGAGGGAGGAGGAAAUGUGUCCCCCGCGGACAAGGAGCAGGCAUCGACUGUCUGCUAUAGAACAGGGUCCCAGCGUCCGUGUGCCUCGGCCGGGACACAGAGCCAGCGUGCACCCGGCACCGAGCUGAGCUGUUCCACGCGGCCCUGUGGGAUGUGGGGCCAAGGGAACCACAGACUCCUGCCCGUGCUGUCUUCUGCGCAGUGAGGAAUAAAACCCUGGUCUCUGAUCGACGCGUCUCCCGACUUCUAGCAGCGUCAAUGAAAUAGCAAAAGGCAACUUAUUAGCUUGUAAGUAAAGUGAAAGAAAAUCCGUGACCUUGUAGUUCAAUGUAAGUUCAGGGCUGAUAAUUUAAUUUUAAAUUUUUUCCACAUGGAAAUUGCUUUAAUGAGCUUUUAC